ACACUUACGCUCUUCGCGCAUUCCGAGACGCAGGGUUCCAGGCCCUUGACAUCUUCCACGCCGC
rnacentral:tRNA from 1 species